rnacentral:rRNA from 1 species
UCUGUUUGAUCCUGGCUCAGGAUGAACGCUGGCGGUAUGCUUAACACAUGCAAGUCGAACGAAAGCUUUAUGCUUUAGUGGCGAACGGGUGCGUAAUACGUGAGAAUCUGCCCUUAGGAGGAGAAUAACUUCUGGAAACGGUUGCUAAGUCUCCAUAUGCCGAGAGGUAAAAUAGUUUACACUGCCUAGGGAUGAGCUCACGCCUGAUUAGCUUGUUGGUAAGGUAAUGGCUUACCAAGGCCACGAUCAGUAGCUGGUUUGAGAGAACGAUCAGCCACACUGGGACUGAGACACGGCCCAGACUCCUCCGGGAGGCAGCAGUGAGGAAUUUUCCGCAAUGGGCGAAAGCCUGACGGAGCAAUACCGCGUGAGGGAUGAAGGAUUUUGGUCUGUAAACCUCUUUUCUCAAGAAAGAAGUUCUGACGGUACUUGAGGAAUAAGCAUCGGCUAACUCCGUGCCAGCAGCCGCGGUAAUACGGGGGAUGCAAGCGUUAUCCGGAUUUAUUGGGCGUAAAGCGCCUGUAGGUUGUUUAAUAAGUCUGUUGUUAAAGACUAGGGCUUAACCCUAGGAAAGCAAUGGAAACUACUAGACUUGAGUAUGAUAGGGGUAGAGGGAAUUUCUAGUGUAGCGGUGAAAUGCGUAGAUAUUAGAAAGAACACCGGUGGCGAAGGCGCUCUACUGGAUCAUUACUGACACUCAGAGGCGAAAGCUAGGGUAGCAAAAGGGAUUAGAUACCCCUGUAGUCCUAGCCGUAAACGAUGGAUACUACAUGUUGCGUUUUUAAUGCAGUAUGGUAGCUAACGCGUUAAGUAUCCCGCCUGGGGAGUACGGUCGCAAGGCUGAAACUCAAAGGAAUUGACGGGGGCCCGCACAAGCGGUGGAGCAUGUGGUUUAA